rnacentral:rRNA from 1 species
GACGACGGGUAGCCGGCCUGAGAGGGCGACCGGCCACACUGGGACUGAGACACGGCCCAGACUCCUACGGGAGGCAGCAGUGGGGAAUAUUGCACAAUGGGCGAAAGCCUGAUGCAGCGACGCCGCGUGAGGGAUGACGGCCUUCGGGUUGUAAACCUCUUUCAGCAGGGAAGAAGCGAAAGUGACGGUACCUGCAGAAGAAGCGCCGGCUAACUACGUGCCAGCAGCCGCGGUAAUACGUAGGGCGCAAGCGUUGUCCGGAAUUAUUGGGCGUAAAGAGCUCGUAGGCGGCUUGUCACGUCGGUUGUGAAAGCCCGGGGCUUAACCCCGGGUCUGCAGUCGAUACGGGCAGGCUAGAGUUCGGUAGGGGAGAUCGGAAUUCCUGGUGUAGCGGUGAAAUGCGCAGAUAUCAGGAGGAACACCGGUGGCGAAGGCGGAUCUCUGGGCCGAUACUGACGCUGAGGAGCGAAAGCGUGGGGAGCGAACAGGAUUAGAUACCCUGGUAGUCCACGCCGUAAACGGUGGGCACUAGGUGUGGGCAACAUUCCACGUUGUCCGUGCCGCAGCUAACGCAUUAAGUGCCCCGCC